rnacentral:rRNA from 1 species
GAUGAACGCUGGCGGCGUGCCUAAUACAUGCAAGUCGAGCGAACAGACGAGGAGCUUGCUCCUCUGACGUUAGCGGCGGACGGGUGAGUAACACGUGGAUAACCUACCUAUAAGACUGGGAUAACUUCGGGAAACCGGAGCUAAUACCGGAUAAUAUAUUGAACCGCAUGGUUCAAUAGUGAAAGACGGUUUUGCUGUCACUUAUAGAUGGAUCCGCGCCGCAUUAGCUAGUUGGUAAGGUAACGGCUUACCAAGGCAACGAUGCGUAGCCGACCUGAGAGGGUGAUCGGCCACACUGGAACUGAGACACGGUCCAGACUCCUACGGGAGGCAGCAGUAGGGAAUCUUCCGCAAUGGGCGAAAGCCUGACGGAGCAACGCCGCGUGAGUGAUGAAGGUCUUCGGAUCGUAAAACUCUGUUAUUAGGGAAGAAAAAUGUGUAAGUAACUAUGCACGUCUUGACGGUACCUAAUCAGAAAGCCACGGCUAACUACGUG